rnacentral:rRNA from 1 species
CUACGGGCGGCUCCAGUGAGGAAUAUUGCACAAUGGGGGGAACCCUGAUGCAGCAACGCCGCGUGGAGGAUGACGCAUUUCGGUGUGUAAACUCCUUUUAUAUGACAAGAAAAUGACGGUAGCAUAUGAAUAAGCACCGGCUAACUCCGUGCCAGCAGCCGCGGUAAUACGGAGGGUGCAAGCGUUACUCGGAAUCACUGGGCGUAAAGGACGCGUAGGCGGGUUGGAAAGUCAGGUGUGAAAUCCUACAGCUUAACUGUAGAACUGCACUUGAAACUUCUAAUCUAGAGUAUGGGAGGGGGAGAUGGAGUUAGUGGUGUAGGGGUAAAAUCCGUAGAUAUCACUAGGAAUACCUAAAGCGAAGGCGAUCUCCUGGAACAUUACUGACGCUAAGGCGUGAAAGCGUGGGGAGCAAACAGGAUUAGAUACCUCGUAGUC